AUUGAACGCUGGCGGCAGGCCUAACACAUGCAAGUCGAACGAGUGGCGGACGGGUGAGUAAUGUCUGGGAAACCGCCUGAUGGAGGGGGAUAACUACUGGAAACGGUAGCUAAUACCGCAUACCAUCGGAUGUGCCCAGAUGGGAUUAGCUCGUAGGUGGGGUAAAGGCUCACCUAGGCGACGAUCCCGAGCUGGUCUGAGAGGAUGACCAUCCACACUGGAACUGAGACACGGCCCAUACUCCUACGGGAGGCAGCAGUGGGGAAUUUUUGACGAUGGGGGCAACCCGGAUCCAGCCAUCCCGCGUGUAUGAUGAAGGCCUUCGGGUUGUAAAGUACUUUUGGCAGAGAAGCGGUAUCUGCAGAAUAAGCACCGGCUAACUACGUGCCAGCAGCCGCGGUAAUAC
rnacentral:rRNA from 1 species